UACGUAGGGAGCAAGCGUUGUCCGGAAUCAUUGGGCGUAAAGCGCGCGUAGGUGGCCUCAUAAGUCCGCUGUGAAAGUCAAAGGCUCAACCUUUGAAAGCCGGUGGAUACUGUGGGGCUAGAGUACGGAAGAGGCGAGUGGAAUUCCUGGUGUAGCGGUGGAAUGCGCAGAUAUCAGGAGGAACACCAAUAGCGAAGGCAGCUCGCUGGGACGUUACUGACGCUGAGGCGCGAAAGCGUGGGGAGCAAACAGG
rnacentral:rRNA from 1 species